CAUUAGGUCAUUUACACUCCAAAUUUGCAACUUAGCCUGAAAAAAGGUUAGAUAUAUCUUGUUUACUAUUUCUAAUUAUUUCAUUCCUACCGUGUGUUAUUUUGUUUUUCUCUAAUGUUCUUCAUGUGUUUUGUUUUGCAUGAGGUCAUUUACACUCCAAAUUUGCAGCUUAGCCUGAAAGAAGGUAAUGUCUUGUUUUACAUUCAAAUUCAUUUUUUGCUACUACAUUGAAGGACAUGGCAGUAAGUUGUAGGCAGUGGCACCAGUGGGAUUGAUAGGAAGCAUUCUCCAGUUGCUGCAACUCCAGAAAGCUAGUGAUCUCUAAGUUAAUCAAAUGGAGGCCUAUGCAAGUAUAAAAAAGUGGGUGUACAUUUUAUGGAAUGAAUAUUAGUGAUCUCCAGUUAUGUGUACAUUUUAUGUAAGUGUAAUGAAGUGUGUGUGUACACACAUACUAUUUUAAAGGAAUGUCUAGCUCCUUAUAUAUGGAA